rnacentral:rRNA from 1 species
AUGAACGCUGGCGGCGUGCUUUAAACACAUGCAAGUCGAACGAAGCAUUUUAAGACGGAUUCUUUCGGGAUGAAGACUUUUAUGACUGAGUGGCGGACGGGUGAGUAACGCGUGGGUAACCUGCCUUGUACUGGGGGAUAGCAGCUGGAAACGGCUGGUAAUUACCGCAUAAGCGCACGGUGCUGCAUGGCACAGUGUGAAAAACUCCGGUGGUAUAAGAUGGACCCGCGUCUGAUUAGCUAGUUGGUGAGAUAACAGCCCACCAAGGCGACGAUCAGUAGCCGACCUGAGAGGGUGACCGGCCACAUUGGGACUGAGACACGGCCCAGACUCCUACGGGAGGCAGCAGUGGGGAAUAUUGCACAAUGGAGGAAACUCUGAUGCAGCGACGCCGCGUGAGUGAAGAAGUAAUUCGUUAUGUAAAGCUCUAUCAGCAGGGAAGAUAGUGACGGUACCUGACUAAGAAGCUCCGGCUAAAUACGUG